rnacentral:rRNA from 1 species
GUCUACGGCCAUACCACCCUGAACGCGCCCGAUCUCGUCUGAUCUCGGAAGCUAAGCAGGGUCAGGCCUGGUUAGUACUUGGAUGGGAGACCGCCUGGGAACACCGGGUGCUGUAGGCU